rnacentral:rRNA from 1 species
GGCCUACCAAGGCGACGAUCUGUAGCGGGUCUGAGAGGAUGAUCCGCCACACUGGGACUGAGACACGGCCCAGACUCCUACGGGAGGCAGCAGUGGGGAAUAUUGGACAAUGGGCGGAAGCCUGAUCCAGCCAUGCCGCGUGUGUGAAGAAGGCCUUUUGGUUGUAAAGCACUUUAAGCGAGGAGGAGGCUCCUUUAGUUAAUACCUAAAGUGAGUGGACGUUACUCGCAGAAUAAGCACCGGCUAACUCUGUGCCAGCAGCCGCGGUAAUACAGAGGGUGCGAGCGUUAAUCGGAUUUACUGGGCGUAAAGCGUGCGUAGGCGGCUUUUUAAGUCGGAUGUGAAAUCCCUGAGCUUAACUUAGGAAUUGCAUUCGAUACUGGAAAGCUAGAGUAUGGGAGAGGAUGGUAGAAUUCCAGGUGUAGCGGUGAAAUGCGUAGAGAUNCUGGAGGAAUACCGAUNGGCGAAGGCAGCCAUCUGGCCUAAUACUGACGCUGAGGUACGAAAGCAUGGGGAGCAAACAGGAUUAGAUACCCUGGUAGUCCAUGCCGUAAACGAUGUCUACUAGCCGUUGGGGCCUUUGAGGCUUUAGUGGCGCAGCUAACGCGAUAAGUAGACCGCCUGGGGAGUACGGUNCGCAAGACUAAAACUCAAAUGAAUUGACGGGGGCCCGCACAAGCGGUGGAGCAUGUGGUUUAAUUCGAUGCAACGCGAAGAACCUUACCUGGCCUUGACAUACUAAGAACUUUCCAGAGAUGGAUUGGUGCCUUCGGGAACUUAGAUACAGGUGCUGCAUGGCUGUCGUCAGCUCGUGUCGUGAGAUGUUGGGUUAAGUCCCGCAACGAGUGCAACCCUUUUCCUUAUUUGCCAUCGGGUAAUGCCGGGAACUUUAAGGAUACUGCCAGUGACAAACUGGAGGAAGGCGGGGACGACGUCAAGUCAUCAUGGCCCUUACGGCCAGGGCUACACACGUGCUACAAUGGUCGGUACAAAGGGUUGCUACCUCGCGAGAGGAUGCUAAUCUCAAAAAGCCGAUCGUAGUCCGGAUCGCAGUCUGCAACUCGACUGCGUGAAGUCGGAAUCGCUAGUAAUCGCGGAUCAGAAUGCCGCGGUGAAUA